rnacentral:rRNA from 1 species
UACGAAGGGGGCGAGCGUUGUUCGGAGUUACUGGGCGUAAAGGGCUCGUAGGCGGCCAACUAAGUCGGACGUGAAAUCCCUCAGCUUAACUGGGGAACUGCGUCCGAUACUGGAUGGCUUGGAUUUGGGAGAGGGAUGCGGAAUUCCAGGUGUAGCGGUGAAAUGCGUAGAUAUCUGGAGGAACACCGGUGGCGAAGGCGGCUCACUGGACUGGUACUGACGCUGAUGCGCGAAAGCGUGGGGAGCAAACAGG